rnacentral:rRNA from 1 species
GACGAACGCUGGCGGCGUGCUUAACACAUGCAAGUCGAACGGAAAGGCCCUGCUUUUGUGGGGUGCUCGAGUGGCGAACGGGUGAGUAACACGUGAGUAACCUGCCCUUGACUUUGGGAUAACUUCAGGAAGCUGGGGCUAAUACCGGAUAGGAGCUCCUGCUGCAUGGUGGGGGUUGGAAAGUUUCGGCGGUUGGGGAUGGACUCGCGGCUUAUCAGCUUGUUGGUGGGGUAGUGGCUUACCAAGGCUUUGACGGGUAGCCGGCCUGAGAGGGUGACCGGCCACAUUGGGACUGAGAUACGGCCCAGACUCCUACGGGAGGCAGCAGUGGGGAAUAUUGCACAAUGUGCGGAAGCCUGAUGCAGCAACGCCGCGUGCGGGAUGACGGCCUUCGGGUUGUAAACCGCUUUCGCCUGUGACGAAGCGUGAGUGACGGUAAUGGGUAAAGGAGCACCGGCUAACUACGU